GUACACAGUGUAACAACCAUGACUAAAACAAUAGAAAACGAAUGCAUACAAGUGAUGAUGUCGCAAGCUUAUCUGUUUAUGUCAAGCAGCAUCAGCUAACCAAAAUGAAACUUGCUGUUCCAGGGACAGCUCCAGCACCAGUGUUCCUGUUGACAGCACCACUAGCUCAGAUCUGUUGUUCUACAUGUACCAAGCCCACUCGUUAAAGCUAUUAUGUUGUCAGCAACAAUUUUCAGCAUCACUUAAAUCAUCAAUAUAUUCCUAAAAGAUUGAUGAUAUUCAACUUAUUUGAAAGAAGUGCUUAAGCUUUUUGUGACUUUACUCCAAAGAACACUUGUUUGGUAACUUUAUAUAUUUGUGUUUCUCAAGACAUUUAGAUGUGUCAGCUGUGUUAGAAAGAGAACAAUUAUUAAAGAAGCUACAUCCAGUUCGAAUAAGUCCUGAGNUU